rnacentral:rRNA from 1 species
UACGUAGGGGGCAAGCGUUGUCCGGAAUCACUGGGCGUAAAGGGCGCGUAGGCGGCAUGCCAAGCGUGUGGUGAAAGCCCGGGGCUCAACCCCGGGUCGGCCGUGCGGACUGGCGUGCUCGAGCACUGUAGGGGCGGGUGGAAUUCCUGGUGUAGCGGUGAUAUGCGUAGAUAUCGGGAGGAACACCUGUGGCGAAGGCGGCUUUCUGGGCCCUACCUGACGCUGAGACGCGAAAGCGUGGGGAGCGAACCGG